UGGCUCAGGACGAACGCUGGCGGCGUGCCUAAUACAUGCAAGUCGAACGCUUCUUUUCCCACCGGAGCUUGCUCCACCGGGAAAAGAGGAGUGGCGAACGGGUGAGUAACACGUGGGUAACCUGCCCAUCAGAAGGGGAUAACACUUGGAAACAGGUGCUAAUACCGUAUAACAAUCGAAACCGCAUGGUUUCGUUUUGAAAGGCGCUUUACGGUGCCGCUGAUGGAUGGACCCGCGGUGCAUUAGCUAGUUGGUGAGGUAACGGCUCACCAAGGCCACGAUGCAUAGCCGACCUGAGAGGGUGAUCGGCCACAUUGGGACUGAGACACGGCCCAAACUCCUACGGGAGGCAGCAGUAGGGAAUCUUCGGCAAUGGACGAAAGUCUGACCGAGCAACGCCGCGUGAGUGAAGAAGGUUUUCGGAUCGUAAAACUCUGUUGUUAGAGAAGAACAAGGGUGAGAGUAACUGUUCACCCCUUGACGGUAUCUAACCAGAAAGCCACGGCUAACUACGUGCCAGCAGCCGCGGUAAUACGUAGGUGGCAAGCGUUGUCCGGAUUUAUUGGGCGUAAAGCGAGCGCAGGCGGUUUCUUAAGUCUGAUGUGAAAGCCCCCGGCUCAACCGGGGAGGGUCAUUGGAAACUGGGAGACUUGAGUGCAGAAGAGGAGAGUGGAAUUCCAUGUGUAGCGGUGAAAUGCGUAGAUAUAUGGAGGAACACCAGUGGCGAAGGCGGCUCUCUGGUCUGUAACUGACGCUGAGGCUCGAAAGCGUGGGGAGCAAACAGGAUUAGAUACCCUGGGUAGU
rnacentral:rRNA from 1 species